rnacentral:rRNA from 1 species
AGUGGCGGACGGGUGAGUAACGCGCGGGUAACCUGCCUCAUACAGGGGGAUAACAGUUAGAAAUGACUGCUAAUACCGCAUAAGACCACAGCACCGCAUGGUGCAGGGGUAAAAACUCCGGUGGUAUGAGAUGGACCCGCGUCUGAUUAGGUAGUUGGUGGGGUAACGGCCUACCAAGCCGACGAUCAGUAGCCGACCUGAGAGGGUGACCGGCCACAUUGGGACUGAGACACGGUCCAA